GUUACACACUUUAAUCAUCAAAGCUUAGAUUUCUUGAUGUAAAAUCCUCCAUGACAUAGCUUGUAUUAAAGCUACCGGGUAGCUGUACUUUCUACCUAGCUGUUUGCUAAGUAUUUUAAAACCAGCUUUUAAAUGCUACGGUAAUUUUGAAAGUCCUGUUAAGAGAUACCGUUAUUAGUAAUCAAAAUAUAUGUAUUAUGGAAUAUGUUCUAAUGAAAGAAGUACAUGUAUUAUUCAAACAAAUAAGAUAAACUGGGACUAAAGAGACCUAUUGUUGAAUUAUUGAUAUUGAACGAAUACAAUUUCCUUUUGAUAUUACUUAUAUAUAGCAGUUAUAUUAUAAAAUAUUUUUAUUGCCGUUUCCAUCUCUAGAGAUAUCAAUGGUUUACUGUUACAUGUAAUACGUGUAUUGUUUAUUUUUUUUUUAUACAUCUAGUUAAAUAUUUAGAAAGAUAAGGGGUGUAAGUUGUAAUUCUUUUUUAGUGCAUAAUAUCAUAGAAUGUGGUUCAUUAAUUUUUGACAACAAGACUCUUAUUUCAUUGUUGUGUAUUCUGGUUUUCAAAAAUAAAAAGAAGUACUUUUCUU
rnacentral:sRNA from 1 species